CGGGACGGGAGAUCUGGCACGGAGCGGGCACUACUCUCCGUGCUGCAAAGCAACCGGGGCUCAAACCGGGGCUAAAUCCUACCACAUGCCUGUCAAGGACAGUGGUGCAGCCGGUCUGAUCGUGUUCCACACGUCUGCUCCCCUAGGUCUCCUCACAUCUACGGUACCCAGCGGAGUAUGGAGAAGUGUCAGGAAGACCGGCCGAAGAGGAAGAGGAGGAGAGAAGAGGAGGAGUGAGGUGUGGCUUCCUGGACCUCCCAGAGGGCCGUGGGUGGACUGGCUCUCUCACACCUCCUUCAGGA